UACGUAGGGUGCAAGCGUUGUCCGGAAUUAUUGGGCGUAAAGAGCUCGUAGGCGGUUUGUCGCGUCGGCUGUGAAAACCUGGGGCUCAACCCCGGGCCUGCAGCCGAUACGGGCAAACUAGAAUUCGGUAGGGGAGACUGGAAUUCCCGGUGUAGCGGUGAAAUGCGUAGAGAUCGGGAGGAACACCAGUGGCGAAGGCGGCCAUCUGGAUCAACACUGACGCUGAGGCACGAAAGCGUGGGGAGCAAACAGG
rnacentral:rRNA from 1 species